CCACCUUCUUUGCACAAAUUCUUCGUCCAUCGUCAUUAAAUCCACCGUUUCCACUAACUAUAAAAUAAAAUUAAAAAAAAAGAAAAGAGAGAAGGUCAGAGAAUUGCAGAACCCGGCGCAACUUCACAGCCAACGCAUGCAAUUGCCACCGCUGCCGUUCUUCUUCUUUUUCAUCAAUCUUCUCUACCAUCCGAACACCCAUACAUCCUAGCCAUCAGGCUCUAUGAUCCGCCACUGUAUUCACCGAAACAUGCCUAAAUAGCUGCUAAACCACCCCCAACGUCGCUGCUGAAUUUGCUGCCAUCCUUUGUGAUUUGCCAACCACGCCACUACAAAUCCUUUCAGCGUCAUCAGCACUUUUUUUUCCAACUAAUUCCAGUCAUUAUUUGUCUCCCCAUUCACAGGAAACCGAAACAAACAGCCAAUUGCAAACUUCACUUUAAUUUCUCGAUCAACCCAUCACAAUCCGAAUCAAACCACCACCUCCAUCACACUCGCCACCAUCAAUUCUUCCAAAUUUACCCUUCCUUUCACGUUUUUCCGAUCACCGUUGCCGAUAAACCCAUACUUUACUUCACUACAAACAAAAGUAACUUUUUAUGACCGAGAUUUCACGGCAUAUAAUAUGCCAAUGCCGUUGAAAGGCGGAAAAGAAAGCAUAUUU
rnacentral:lncRNA from 1 species